rnacentral:tRNA from 1 species
GGCUGUGUUGCUCUGCAGUAAAGCACUUACCUAACAUGCAGGAGGCCCUAGGUUCAAUCCCUAGGAGAGCCA